CCUACGGGAGGCAGCAGUGAGGAAUAUUGGUCAAUGGGCGAGAGCCUGAACCAGCCAAGUCGCGUGAAGGAUGACGGCCCUAUGGAUUGUAAACCUCUUUUGUCAGGGAGCAAAGGGCGCCACGUGUGGCGUUUUGCGAGUACCUGAAGAAAAAGCAUCGGCUAACUCCGUGCCAGCAGCCGCGGUAAUACGGGGGAUGCGAGCGUUAUCCGGAUUUAUUGGGUUUAAAGGGUGCGCAGGCGGAAUGUCAAGUCAGCGGUAAAAUUUCGGGGCUCAACCCCGUCGUGCCGUUGAAACUGGCGUUCUUGAGUGAGCGAGAAGUAUGCGGAAUGCGUGGUGUAGCGGUGAAAUGCAUAGAUAUCACGCAGAACUCCGAUUGCGAAGGCAGCAUACCGGCGCUCAACUGACGCUCAUGCACGAAAGCGUGGGUAUCGAACAGGAUUAGAUACCCCUGUAGUC
rnacentral:rRNA from 1 species